GCACUGCUAACGAGUCUGAAACAGGACGAAACAGCUGUCCGGUGC
rfam:Echinostoma caproni strain Egypt genome assembly, scaffold: ECPE_scaffold0003809